ensembl:lncRNA novel transcript
AAACCAGGAAGCCACCACCAAAUAAGACUCUAUUUAUUUAUUUAUGUAUUACUGCAUCUCUACCUCAGCUGUUCUACAGUGGCUCAGAAGAGGCUCUGAAGCAAUUCCGAUGUUUAACCAUUCCCCUUGAUAAAUCAAAUCACAAGGACAGGUAAUGGCUUCCUAGAGAGGCUGACUUUGGAAAGAAGAGAAGCAUGAGCAGUAAAGUAUUGAUAAAGUGAUACUCUUGUAAAUUGCUAGUAAAAAAAAAAGAUGAUAUAUGUAUCUGCAAAAUCCAAGGAAGUUGCAAUUUGAAAUAAAAAAUUCUUGAACAGCAAAAUUGAAGACAAAAGAACCAAAGACCCUAUUUCAGGGUAGACUGAAUCAAGUCUUCUUGCACUCACUAAAGAAAAGACUUGCAGCCAUAUGAAGACAACAGCAAAGUGACCCUGACCAUUUUCUUGUAGUGACACCUCCGCAUAGUGACAGAUGGGCUCCCAGAGGAGUGG